rnacentral:ribozyme from 14 species
AAUGAUUAUAACGAAAUUACAUUCACAAACAAAAAGUACAAUACUAGCUAGUGGAUAUUCGAAUGUUUCUUGAUUCGUUCUAUCUUUCUCCGUGUUUUCUAUUGUUUUUUCU